rnacentral:lncRNA from 1 species
GGCCAACGAGCGUAACUCUUCCACAGGAGCGCGCAAGAGUUGGGAUACUGAAGGAAAAGACGAUUUCUGAACUUGUAUGGGCGGCGGCGCGGGCCGAGUGGAGGGUGCCGGCGCCGCGAUGGCGCGGAAGGCGGCGGUGGCGCGCUGGAGGAGGUCGCCGGCACGGGCUGGGUGGAGGUCGCCGGCGGCGCACUAGGAGGCAACGGCGCCGGCGCAGAGAGAGAAACGAGAGAAAACAUGGCCUACCGGGGUCACGAGUUUACUGGAGGAGGAUUUUUUUUUUCUUUUAAUGUGAAAAGUCUAUUAUGCUCUUCCUGGAUACUUCAUCUAGACUCUACGGACCAUUGGGUACUGUAGAAAACGUCUUAAAAAAAUUACAGAAAACGAAAAAGGGAGAGAAGAAACCACGCGAAUCUCUGCUCUUCCUUUCGUUUCUGGCAACUCGGCAAGCAGCAUCGACCACAAUUCACACCAAGUUCGGCCACCUCUUGGCGAUGAAUUUGCAUAGCACAGGGCAUAUACAUAUACACGUAUUUUUUUUUAGUAUGAUUCCAUUUAUUCAUGGUCUCUGUCAAUGCUAGCGUGUCUUUUCUAGAAGCCUGCGUGUGUCAUUCUUGUGAUUGUUAA